GACGAACGCUGGCGGCGUGCUUAACACAUGCAAGUCGAACGGAAAGGCCCUGCUUGCAGGGUACUCGAGUGGCGAACGGGUGAGUAACACGUGGGUGAUCUGCCCUGCACUUCGGGAUAAGCCUGGGAAACUGGGUCUAAUACCGGAUAGGAGCCAUUUUUAGUGUGAUGGUUGGAAAGUUUUUUCGGUGUAGGAUGAGCUCGCGGCCUAUCAGCUUGUUGGUGGGGUAAUGGCCUACCAAGGCGGCGACGGGUAACCGGCCUGAGAGGGUGGACGGCCACAUUGGGACUGAGAUACGGCCCAGACUCCUACGGGAGGCAGCAGUGGGGAAUAUUGCACAAUGGGCGCAAGCCUGAUGCAGCGACGCCGCGUGGGGGAUGACGGCCUUCGGGUUGUAAACUCCUUUCGCUAGGGACGAAGCUUUUUGUGACGGUACCUAGAUAAGAAGCACCGGCUAACUACGU
rnacentral:rRNA from 1 species